ensembl:lncRNA
CCCCACUGGGGGUCUUUGGGGUUUUGUGGUGCCCUUUAUGGGAUUUUCCCCCCUACAGCCGCUCCCGAUCCGCGCGGCCUCCCCCGAAUUUGGGAUCCUGACACCGACGACCCCAUAUCCGACGACCCCAUAUCCGACAUCGCCGCCCCAUUGUUUCUGUCCUCCCGCGGCUUCGCUCCACCCCACAACAGCGACGACCCCAUAAAGGCGACGUCCGACCCCAUAAACGCCGACUCUCCGUCACCCCAUAAGCUGGACUCGUUCCCGACCCUAAAAGACGACAAUGGGGACGAAGAGCUGAACUUCGAAUUCCUCCCCGUGGAUUUGGGGUCAAAAGGGAAGAAAAAGGGCAAAAGGAACGCCGGCCCCGUUGGGGUUGACCCUAUUGAUCCUAUUAGGGUCAGGGUUGGCCCCGCUGACCCUAUAAGGGUCGGGGUUGAUCCCACUGGUCCCACUGGGGUCAAAGUUGACCCGUUGGCCAACGUUGACCCCAUAAGGGUUGGGGUCGACCCCAUUGACCCUAUAAGGGUUGGGGUUGACCCCACUGACCCCAUUAGGGUCGGGGUUGACCCCACUGACCCUAUUAGGGCCAGGGAUGGUCCAUUGGCCAACGUUGACCCUAUAAGGGUUGGGGUCGACCCCACUGACCCCAUUGGGGUUGGGGUUGACCCCAUUGACCCCAUUGGGGUUGGGGUUGACCCCAUUGACCCCAUUAGGGUCAGGGCUGGCCCGUUGGCCAACGUUGACCCCAUAAGGGUUGGGGUCAACCACACCCACCCCAUUGGGGUCAACCCAUUGGCCAAGGUUUACCCCAUUGUCACGGCGGCGCAUUUUGGGGUCGCGGGGCUUUUGGGGGAUCCCAAUCUUUUGGGGGAUCCCAAUCUUUCGGGGGACAUCAGCGGUUCCGGGGACACCGAUCUUCCCACCACGACCCCAAAAACCCCAAACCCCAUAACCACCCCAAAUCCCACCACCACCCCAAAGCAAGGUGGGUUCCUUCCCCGAUCCCCUGACCCUAUAAAACAAAAAAACCCCGAACUCUGGGGUUAUAGGGCCGCCAUCCCGACCCUAUUUCCCACCCCUCCCCCUCCCCAGGGCUGUGCCAUAAUAACGGGGUGCACAUCAAUGGGAUUUGUCACUGCACCCCAUUAUUUUAUGGGGUCGAGUGUCAGUACGCCAAGGAGAGCGUGGAGGUCAACGACGAGAGGGCAGCGUCGUGGUGACGUACGAAGUCCUCCUUCGGGUCGGGGCGGGGAUUGGCGCCGCCGCCGUCGUGGAGGACCGCGUGGAGGACCUCCUGCAGGCCACCGCCGCCAAUUGCAGUCAAUGCAGCGACGUCACGUGCGAGCUGUGCUUCAAUGCCUCCCACACCGCUGUGACCAACUACAGCAUUCAGCCCCUGGAUGAAGAGCUGUGCCGGCAGUUCGUCCCGCCGUCUCUGAUUGGCUACUACUCCCCCGUCCUCUCAACCAAUGGCGUUCUUUGCGUCACCCGUUGCCACCCGCUUUCCUCCGAGCCCCUCCCGUGCGUGCACGGAGCAUGCGCAGUGAGCGACGACGGGCCGCAGUGCGACUGCAGUGACCCCGGCUCCUUCUGGUACCUGGACUCGUCGUGCAGCUCCAGGCUGAGCAAAGUGGGCUUGGCUCUCGGGCUCCCCCUGGCGGCGCUUUGCGUCGGUGCAGCGGGCUGCGGGGCGGCGCUGCUGAGGAGCAGGAGGCUGCGCAGGGCGG